ACUAACUGAAAAAAUAAGGAACUCUGGUCAAAAGUGGUGUUUUCAGGCUCAGGGCUGGUCUGAGAUGGGUGACUGCAGAGCCCUCCUCUCCCAGAAUGCUUUCUGAUGUGUUCUGUGCUGCACACUUAACUGGAGUCUCGCCACCAUGUCUGGCCCCUGGGGAAUGCUGCCAGGCGCUCUAUCUUGCUUUCAUUGAGUGAACACUGGAGAACAUUAUAGGUGAUCUUCAGCUUUGCAAACUGGAUGAACUAGAUUGCUUGAUCAAAGGAAUUUUAUACAUUGACUCAGUCGGAUUCAAUGGACGGUCACAGUGCUAUUACUUUGAAAACCCUGCUGAUUCUGAAAAGUGUCAGAAGUUACCAUUUGAUUUGAAAAAUCCGUAUCCUCUGCUUCUGGUGAACAUUGGCUCAGGGGUUAGCAUCUUAGCAGUAUAUUCCAAAGAUAAUUACAAACGGGUCACAGGUACUAGUCUUGGAGGAGGAACUUUUUUUGGUCUCUGCUGUCUUCUUACUGGCUGUACCACUUUUGAAGAAGCUCUUGAAAUGGCAUCUCGUGGAGAUAGCACCAAAGUGGAUAAACUAGUACGAGAUAUUUAUGGAGGGGACUAUGAGAGGUUUGGACUGCCAGGCUGGGCUGUGGCUUCAAGCUUUGGAAACAUGAUGAGCAAGGAGAAGCGAGAGGCUGUCAGUAAAGAGGACCUUGCCAGAGCGACUUUAAUCACCAUCACCAACAACAUUGGCUCAAUAGCAAGAAUGUGUGCCCUUAAUGAA
rnacentral:sRNA from 1 species